UACGUAGGGCGCAAGCGUUGUCCGGAAUUAUUGGCGUAAGAGCUCGUAGGCGGUUUGUCGCGUCUGCUGUGAAAACCUAAGGCUCAACCUUGGGCUUGCAGUGGGUACGGGCAGACUAGAGUGCGGUAGGGGUGACUGGAAUUCUGGUGUAGCGGUGGAAUGCGCAGAUAUCAGGAGGAACACCGAUGGCGAAGGCAGGUCACUGGGCCGCAACUGACGCCUGAGGAGCGGAAAGCAUGGGGAGCGAACAGGA
rnacentral:rRNA from 1 species